ACCUGGAUCCCUGGUCCCCGUCAUUUUUUCUCUCUCUUCCUACCAAACAAACAAACUGUUGUUUCUCUCUCUUCGCGACAUCCUUUCGUUCUUCAAUUUUCUUCAUACUUUCAGAAAUUUGUCCCAAAAUUAGGUCUAGUUAAGCGACAAUUGCACUCUAUUUCUCGCGAAAUCAAAUUUUAUAAUGUUCUAUUGUAAAUUUCAGCUACAAUUUUGGAGUCCGUCAAAUUUCAUCUGCGACGUUAAAUUAUCACAGUGAUCUGCACCAUCAUUCUUAGAAUCAGAUGAGGCGAAUGUUGCGUGUCGGAGCUCCGAUUUCUUUCACCACCGUAAUCAAAUUUUAAAAUUGGUGAUCUGGACUUGCUUGAUAGCUUGGAGUCGAUUUAUGGAGACGGUACUCAGAUUUCUUAAAUAAUUGAAGCAAAUAGAAUUACUUUCUGGUGCAGACGUUUCAAUACAUCAGCUAAAGAUAUUAGAGUCAACUGAAAAUGUAAGUCUUUUCUCAUAAUUUUCUUGUGUGUACAAAGUUUUUCUUACUGACAGAUAACAUGUAUGUAACUUAAGCUGUAUUGGUAUC